CUGAAAUUCAGUUUCUGACAUAGCGCU
rnacentral:misc_RNA from 1 species